AUGGAGAAGGAGAGGAGGCUGCAGAGCCAUGGCCGUAGCAAGCGACCGCGCAAGGAGAUCCAGGUCUCGGAGGAGGAGAUUGGGUGGGAAAGGGACCUCCGCGCCCAUCUGUCGACUCGCAGGGAGACACAGUCCACGGCUGGUCGGGGUUCAGUUGAGGCCCGUGGCUCGCGUUCGCGUUCUCCUCGGCGCUCGGCGUCUUGGGGGAUGGAGUCAUCCAGGGAGGCCUCUCCGCCCCUCCCCCUCCCCCACCAGGCCUCCCCCCCAUUCAGGGCCAGCAGAGGAUGCAAAACAGGCCUGGGGCGGGGCGUCGCGCCAGUGGGGCGGGGAGGGAGAUCGGCGUAG
rnacentral:rRNA from 1 species